AGCUUCGGCCCCUAACUGCCAAGAAAAGCCGCUAUUGUUUGCAUGACACCCGUACCGUAAACCGACACAGGUGGAUGAGGAGAGAAUCCUAAGGCCGACGGGAGAAGCAUUGUUAAGGAACUCGGCAAAAUGACCCCGUAACUUCGGGAGAAGGGGUGCCUCGAAAGAGGCCGCAGAGAAUUGGCCCAAGCAACUGUUUAGCAAAAACACAGGUCUAUGCAAAACCGAAAGGUGAGGUAUAUGGGCUGACGCCUGCCCGGUGCUGGAAGGUUAAGAGGAGAGCUUAGCGCAAGCGAAGGUUUGAAUUUAAGCCCCAGUAAACGGCGGCCGUAACUAUAACGGUCCUAAGGUAGCGAAAUUCCUUGUCGGGUAAGUUCCGACCCGCACGAAAGGCGUAAUGAUUUGGGCGCUGUCUCGACAAUGCACCCGGUGAAAUUGAAGUACCAGUGAAGAUGCUGGUUACCCGCGCCAGGACGGAAAGACCCCAUGGAGCUUUACUCUAGCUUGAUAUUGGGAUUCGGUAUUGUCUGUACAGGAUAGGUGGGAGGCUUUGAACCGUGGACGCCAGUCUGCGGGGAGCCGCUGUUGGGAUACCACCCUUACAAUACUGGAUUUCUAACCUGCCGCCAUGACCUGGCGGAGGGACAAUGUCUGGUGGGGAGUUUGACUGGGGCGGUCGCCUCCGAAAGAGUAUCGGAGGCGCUCAAAGGUCCUCUCAGGAUGGACGGAAACCAUCCGAAGAGUGCAAAGGCAUAAGAGGGCUUGACUGUGACACCGACGGGUGGAGCAGGUACGAAAGUAGGACUUAGUGAUCCGGUGGUAGAAAGUGGGAUUGCCAUCGCUCAACGGAUAAAAGCUACCCUGGGAUAACAGGCUUAUCACUCCCAAGAGUUCACAUCGACGGAGUGGUUUGGCACCUCGAUGUCGGCUCAUCGCAUCCUGGGGCUGUAGCAGGUCCCAAGGGUUGGGCUGUUCGCCCAUUAAAGCGGUACGCGAGCUGGGUUCAGAACGUCGUGAGACAGUUCGGUCCCUAUCCGGCGCGGGCGUAGGAUAUUUGAGAGGAGCUGUCCUUAGUACGAGAGGACCGGGAUGGACGAACCGCUGGUGGAUCGGUUGCAUUAUCAAGUGCAUGGCCGAGUAGCCAAGCUCGGAAGGGAUAAACGCUGAAGGCAUCUAAGCGUGAAGCCCCCCUCAAGAUGAGAUAUCCCAUUCUUUAAAAGAAGUAAGACCCCUUGAAGACCACGAGGUAGAUAGGGCAGAGGUGGAAGUACGGUAACGUAUGGAGCUGACUGUCACUAAUCGGUCGAGGGCUUGACC
rnacentral:rRNA from 1 species